UGAUAGCGUUGAAGCGUGAGGUUGCUGCCGACAGGCAGGUUUUCCGUGGAGCGAAUGUCAAGUUAGGAAACUGGCGACAA
rfam:Roseburia sp. 499 contig000014, whole genome shotgun sequence.